CACUACUAGAAAUAUGGCCAAAGGGCACCGACAGAUGGCCACUGAUACGCAAACGGUUCUUGUAACUUUUGUGAUCCACUGAUAGCAAAUGUUGGUGGCAAAAAAUUGGAUUUGUCACUGAUGAUCAGUGGCUAAUAUGUUUAUUAAUAAACUAAAUAAUAAAAUAAUAAUAUAGCUGAUCACUUUUCAUCCCCACUUAUUUAGUAUUAUUAUUUUUUUGGCAAUAGAGAAUUUAAUAUACUAAUAGCAACAGAUUCUCAAACACACACUCUCUCUCUCGCUCUCUUUUUCUCGGGGAGAGUGGGAGACUCUCUCAGCAGCUAAACAAACAAUGAAAAAACUCAAACUCUCUUGCUCUCUCUUUCUUCUUCACUGCCAUUUCUCAAACUCCGGUGACCUGCGACACGACCGAUAAUAAUGAAUCUAGGGUGAGCCGAUCUACAAAACCCACAUGGCCAUAGGACGGGAAAUUAGCCAACGCGCCAUCACCAAUGGUUUGCUGACUUCAACAGCUGCCGAUCGUGUUCUGCAAACGGGUUCCACCUUUCUUUACUCUGAAUCUUGUUCUAGGUAAAAUAUGUUUUGGAUUUUAGGGUUGUUUCUUUCUGGCUGGUGGAAACUUGGAUUUCAGUACGGGAUCAUGGCUAUUGGGUUUUAUGGGUGUUUUAGGGUCUUUCAUGUUCAUUUGGGUGAAUCUGAAAAUGUUCUCUUGAUAAAAAAUAACAUCCCAGAAAUAAUAAUUUUCAUGUAGAACAAGGUGCAAUUAAGUUUUUUUUUUUCCUUGCUAGAAGCAUGUGCUUUGAAUCCAACACUUACUUUAGUCUCUGUUUUGCUGCAGUAGGAUUUCAGAAUUAAUAAUGGGCUAUAGACUUAUAUGUAUUGGAAUAUGGAUGAGCAUAAUUGUAGAAUCUUAUUUUAGUUGACCUAUGCAAAGCCUUGUUCUAAGCCAAUUUAAUUUAUAAUAAAAUUACAAUGAAUUCAGAUUUGAUGUUUCUCAUGGUAAAGUUUUUGAAUUUAAUAGCUUAGUGUUUAGUUGUUGAGCUAUUUCAAAUGCUAGUCGAACUUGAGCUAUUUCAAAUGUUCAAGUGUUCAGUCAUUGUUGAGAAGGUGGAGUCUAGGUCAUGCUCCCAGUGGAGGGUUCCCCCUGUUCCCAAUGAGUUUGAUUAAUUGGCUCAUAACAAGGUCUAUCCAUACGUACUAUCAACACAUAAGCUAUUUUUAAGAAAGAAUUUGUUAAGUAACCAGUUUAAUGAAUAAAUCCUUGUCUUUAAGAUUCUAGCUGUACAUCUUUGAAGCUGCAGGUGUAUGGUGAUUUAGGAAGAUUGUGGUGAUGCAGCUGUGGAGACUUUGAAUCAGUUCCUUGGUUGGUGCAAGCUCUCAUUAUUUUUCGUAAGCUGCAUUUAAAACUUAUCUGAGAAGUUGAAAAAACACAGAAUCAAGCAAGAGGUCUUGUGCGAUAAAAAGAGCGUUUGGCUGUUAUGAAGACAAGUUCAUUCCAAUUCCUAUUCCUCUCAUUGAUCUCCAUCAUCAGGCAUUCCUACAAGUAAAUCUGGGUUAUCAUCAUCAAUUGUAUCCUAAUUUCUUUUGCUUCUGUUUUUCUCAGAUGCAGCAAGAGUAGGAGGCUUAGAUGGAGUAUUGAUACCUUCGGGCUGGGAUCAAAAAUGGUACUGGAAAUCAUAACGGCAAACACUGAUACUGAUCAAACCUUGGUGGGAGGGGCCGUAAAUUAUGUAUAGACAUGAUGUUCUAUUUUUUUAAGUUUAUAAAUAUGAUAAAGCGAGCUAUGUAAUUCAGUGAUGCAAUAGAAAUAUUUACUAUCAAUUUUUAUGAGGUUAAAUAAUUUA